rnacentral:rRNA from 1 species
GACGAACGCUGGCGGCGUGCUUAACACAUGCAAGUCGAACGGCAAGGCCCUGCUUUUGUGCGGUUCUCGAUUGCCGAUCGCGUGCGUAUCACGUAAGUAACCUGCCCUUGUCUUUGGGAUAACUUCAGGAAACUGGACCUAAUCCCGGAUAGGAUCUCCUGCUGCAUGGUGGGGGUUGGAAAGUUUGGGCUGUUGGGGUUGGACUGGCGGCUUAUCAGCUAGUUAGUGGGGGAGUGGCUGACCAAGGCUUUGACGGGUAGCCGGCCUGAGAGGGUGACCGGCGACAUUGGGACUGAGGGACGGCGCAGAGGGGAACGGUGGGCAGCAGGGGGGAAUAUUGCACAGUCGGAGGACGCCGGAUGCAGAAGCGCUGCGGGUGGGAAGACCUUUUGCUGGGAGAGAACAGCUGCAGCUUGAGACGCAGCGGGUGUGACGGUACCGAAAAAAUAAGCACCGGCUAACUUCGUG